ACGCCCAGCUCCCCUGGCUCUAGCAGCACAGAAAUGUUGGUACUGGGAAGAGAGCCUGCCAAUAUUGGCUGUGCUGCUCCAGGCAGGGGGGGGA
ensembl:miRNA